CAGCCGCUCCAAGAAACUGUUUUCAGUUCCUGAGUUUGGGUCGCGAGCCGGACACAAGCUGAAGGGAUGAUGAUAAUCCGCCACACUGACCACGCUGAGGCUGACCCCGCCCGCCCUGCUGACAUCUGCACUUUAAAGCUCCUCAGGGACAGAAAUGGACAGAUGUCAUCGGGUCAUCCAUCAUGGAGGCCGGCCGCGUCUUGAACGGAGAUGGAACCGCUCGCAGGCGAAACGAAGCCGAUCGCGUCAUCAGGAGAGCGUCACCGCGGCACAACGGGCGAGAUAAGGACACAGUCCAC